GCUUAAAAAUUUUAAAUCUGAAUAUGUAGACGAAGUUGAAGCUAUUGAAAAUGAAAUUGAUCUUGAAGAUCGUAGAUUAAAGUCAAAGUUAUCUAUAUUCAACGAUAGAUUUUUUCCAAUUAUGGAGAAGAACAAAACCCAAAUUAAAGCUAAGUGCACUUCAUGUCAACAAAUUUUAAGUGGGCAUGAAGAGAUUUCAUCUAAUUUUUUGAAACAUAUGAAGAGAAAACAUCCAGCAAUGAUGUUAGAUUAUAACCAAUUUAAAAUAACAAAACGAACAGAUACAAAUACAUCAAAAUCUCAACUGACUAAAUUAAAAACAUUGCAACCCAUUAAAAAUAUCCUUACACAAAAAAUUGCAGAUGAUCUUAUUAGCAAUUUUAUUAUUAAAAGUAUGCUUCCCAUGGACACUGUAGAAACAAAGGAAUUCAAAGAUUUAAUUCAUGGUUUAUCAAAUGGUACGGUUGAAGUGAUGUCUAAGGUAACUCUUGCCAGAAGAAUAGAUGCGUUAUUUUCCAGAACGAUAGAGGAAUAUCAAUCAAAUAUUUGAUUAAUAAUGUAAACCAUGUAUUAUAUAUUUUAUUUAUACUAUUUAAUAAAUCUUCUAUUAUUUAUAUUGUC